rnacentral:rRNA from 1 species
GGGGCGCGAGAUAACUCUCUCUAAGGAACUCGGCAAAAUGACCCCGUAACUUCGGGAGAAGGGGUGCCAUCGAAAGGUGGUUGCAAUAAAGAGGCCCAGGCGACUGUUUACCAAAAACAUAGGUCUCUGCUAACUCGUAAGAGGAUGUAUAGGGGCUGACGCCUGCCCAGUGCCGGAAGGUUAAGGAAGUUGGUCAGUCUUCGGAUAAAGCUAGCGACUGAAGCCCCGGUGAACGGCGGCCGUAACUAUAACGGUCCUAAGGUAGCGAAAUUCCUUGUCGGGUAAGUUCCGACCCGCACGAAAGGCGUAACGAUCUGGGCGCUGUCUCGAAGAGAGGCUCGGCGAAAUAGGAUUGUCUGUGAAGAUACGGACUACCUACACUUGGACAGAAAGACCCUAUGAAGCUUUACUAUAGCCUGGAAUUGUGUUCGGGCUUCCCUUGCGCAGAAUAGGUGGGAGGCGUUGAAAGUAGUCCUGUGGGAUUACUGGUGCCGUCGGUGAGAUACCACUCUAGGGAGGCUAGAAUUCUAACUUCAACCCGUAAUCCGGGAGAAAAACAGUUUCAGGUGGGUAGUUUGACUGGGGCGGUCGCCUCCAAAAAGGUAACGGAGGCGCACAAAGGUUCCCUCAGGCUGGAUGGAAAUCAGCCUGAGAGUGUAAAGGCACAAGGGAGCUUGACUGCGAGAGAGACAACUCAAGCAGGUAGGAAACUAGGUCUCGUGAUCCGACGGUGCUGCGUGGAAAGGCCGUCGGUCAACGGAUAAAAGUUACUCUAGGAUAACAGGCUGAUCUCCCCCAAGAGUUCACAUCGACGGGGAGGUUUGGCACCUCGAUGUCGGCUCAUCGCAACCUGGGGCUGAAGUAGGUCCCAAGGGUUGGGCUGUUCGCCCAUUAAAGCGGUACGUGAGCUGGGUUCAGAACGUCGUGAGACAGUUCGGUCCAUAUCCCGUGUAGGCGCAAGAGCAUUGGGAGGAGUCUUCCUUAGUACGAGAGGACCGGGAAGAACGCACCGCUGGUGUACCAGUUAUCGUGCCAACGGUAAACGCUGGGUAGCCAAGUGCGGAGAGGAUAACCGCUGAAAGCAUCUAAGUGGGAAGCCCACCUCAAGAUGAGUGCUCUCAUGGAGUAAUCCAGUAAGGUCACGGGAAGAACACCCGUUAAUAGGCGUUAGGUGGAAGAGCAGCAAUGUUUGCAUCCGAGACGUGCUAAUAGACCGAGGGCUUGAC